GUUGAGGUGGCAGAGUCCGGCAAUUGCAUAAAACUUAAACUUUUACAUUCAGAGGUUCAAUUCCUCUUCUCAACA
rnacentral:tRNA from 1 species